CGAGGUGCUGCCGUCGCCGCCCGACCUGCGCCUUCGCGCCACUUCGCGCCCUCGGGCGAGGCCGAGGGGGUGGGGACGACCCCCGCCGCGUAGUCGCGGCUCGCGCCCCUCGCGAAGCUCCUUGGCGGGGCCGGCCGGUCGGCCGGCCGCACCCCCGGCCUGGGGCCUCCGGUCGUAGUAAAGCGGAGGCGGGUGGGGAGGCGGGAGCGAGAGCCCGCGGCGGGCGAGGCGAAGAUGGUGGCGGCUACUCCUCCUGUCAUACACGUGGACCUAACUGCACCAAAAGCUUUUCUAAGGAUACUUGCAAGAAGAAAGUUUUCCCUAGUGGGAAAUCCUGUGACCAUGGAAAAAGUGACACUGCGACUUUUGAGGCUGCACAUAAAAAGCAUACAACUUCCACCUCAUCCACCUGACACUCACCAUUGGAACCAAAUCACCAUUUACUUGGGGCAGCUAAGUGCCCUUAAGAAGAAUCUAUGUGUCUGUACCCCUGCCACCAUCUCAGUUAAGGGUGACUGAGUCUCCAGAUGAUGCCAGCCAUCAUCCUUCAAGCCUUUUCAGCUGACUCCAAAGGGCACCGAGAUGGCAUGCCCCCACCAGACCCUUCCAGAAUUAUGGACUUAUGAACAAAAUGUCAUUGUUUUCAACCACAAAGUUUUGGAGUGGUUUGGUAACUCAGCAAUAGAUAACCAGAACAUAGGGUGAUUAAACCUACACUUGAGUCAAAUAUUGCCAAACAUGACAAAUCACAUUGGACUAAAAAGAGUGUGCUUCUUAAGAGAUCCUGGACAUGCCACUUUCCAUAGUAGCUGGAUUUGAUUUUGUGUUCUCUGCCUCUGGGGAAGUAUAAGUGCAUUUUCAAUGUGAGUGGGAUAAUUGUAUUUACUAUAUUAGGCAGAGGAAAUGUGGGAAUUUUUUGUGCAUGUCUAAUAUGAUGUUAUAACUGGAUCUUUCCUGUCUCCAUUUUGACAGAGGCACCAGUGAUCAACAUCAGAUCACUUAAAUGACAGUCUCCAAUUUCAUAUUGAUUUAUUCACCACGUGAUGCCUAGCAUACGUCACUUGUUACUCUGGGUGCUGGGAAUGAAGCAAUGAACAAAGCAGUUAAAAUUUUCUUCCCACAUGAAGCUUACAUAUGCGGAAUUAGAAAGUAACCAUCUCUAAAAACCUGUUCCUUAAGGUCUAUAAAAAGGAGUCAGGAUGUAGUAAAGAGGAAAUUGGUCAGGACACUUUAUUGGAGAGAGUUGUUUGUGUGUGUGUGAGUUAAUCAGGAGCAGCUGGGUUAUGUUAUGAUAACAAAUACACACGGAUGAGCCAGAGAUUGGACAUGUGUAGGACGUCAUGAAUAUUGUCCAAUAAGGGACAGAAAAUCUCAGCAGAAAAAGAAUGAAGGUGAACAUACAUAGUAUGAGUGUGGAACAAAAUGAUAUAAGAUCAUUAGGGAGUCAUCUGCCUGAUCAAGGGCAGUGUAGCAGAGAGAUCGUGUUUUAAGGAGUCUCUGAAGAGAGGAAGGGCAAGAGCAGAGUCCAGAGGGAUUCACACUUUGUUCCCUCUGCCUCCCUCCUCCCUUCCCAUGGCAUGCCUCUAGAGAGAGCAGAUCCAAGCUUGGGCUAAAAGAACGUUCAAUGGUGAAUCAAGUUAAAGAUUUUGCUUACGAGUUUGUACUGGAUGUCCAAUUUUUAAAUUGAAACUGUGUUUACUACUGAUAGUAACUGAACAACUUUUGUUUUUUGCAAGUGAGUGAUCACAAAAAUCAUGGACCUGUCCAAAUAUUCUUUCAAGGUAAGGGGAUAUUACCAGAACUGAGUAAAUCUUGAAGCCAAGGUAAGAGACAUAACUUAAUUGUCACCGCGAUCACAAUCCUUAUGUCAUGCUUGUUCAACACAACCAGGUUACAUCUAUGGGGUAAAGGGUUUGUUUCUCCUGGGUGGACAAUGCAUAGAUCUCCACUUUUACUACUCUGUUACUGGUAAGAGAAUUCCAUUUCCUUAGGGGCAUAAGUUAACUGGAGAUCAUUCCACCUAUCUGUAAUCAUAAAGUGGACACCUGAGAAUCUCAGGUGAGAAUGAUGGGUAGGUAGCAGGAUCAGCAUUUGACCCAAGAGUCCAUGUGACUCUUGUUUUCAUAACUUCAGGGUAAGAGCUGCAGCUUUCUGUUGGGAUUACUGAUCUGUGGGUGGCCAUUUACUUCCACAAUGUGGAAAGAGAGAGAGCACAAGCCUGCUUCAGUAUAUCACUUUAAACCCAGAUCCAGCUUUACCAUGAAAAAACCUCACUCAUUAAAGCGACUAAACUUCAGUUUUUACUUAAGUAAUUUGAGGCGUCUCUUUCAACACAAUUUUGACCAACACCUGUAGUGUAUUUGAAGAGGAACCAAUAUAUGCCUCAUCAUCUGUAGUAUGCCUAUCAAACAAUACUUCUUAGUCUUUAUGGGUCUUGGAUCCUUGGAAAUAUAAUGAAAUCCAAGGACUUUCCAUUAGUUACAUAUUAGCACAAUUAACUCUAUAUUGGAAUUUGGUUUUCUUCACAUAGAUGACAAAGCAACAUUUAUAAAGAGCUAUAUCUUCCUCACAUUUCUUCAAAUAUUGAAUAUGAAUUAAAAAAUUAUCAAAUAAGGUAAAAAGUAAAUUCAAGGAGAAGGAUGCUCUGCUUGGCCGGGAGGCAAACUUGACACAGUGGAGUGGUUUUUGAUUCAUUCCGCUAUGGCAAGCAAUCCUUGCUGCUCUCUACCUCUGACCACACAGAAGACCCCUUCAGUGUGGCUUGCAGUGCUUAUAGGUGUUUGUAAGUUUCUGUUUAUAGUGAAGUUUUCAGGACUCUGUCAUUUUAAUCCAUAACCUGAAGAAUUUUCUCAGCGCUGGACUAUCUCCAGGGUUAACUGCUUUCAGUAUCCCUUUCCAGAGUGGCAACUUGUACCUAACAAUAAGUUUUUGUUUUUGUUUUUUUUUUUCGUCAGUAUCUUCAAUGCCACAUCAAGGCCUCCAGUCAAAGGAUUUACCUUAUUCAUGUGGCUGAAAAUAUCUGUCGAAUGACCCUAUUCAUGAGUCAACUCUUCCCUGUCAAAUGGAGCUGGAAUUUGGGUUGAUUAUAUCCUCCUAAUAGUGAAACUUCUACAUAAGCUUCAGGCACAAGACACGGACCUCCUCAUUCAUCAGGCCAAGGAAGCCCGGAAAUUUUCCCACAAGACCAGCCAGGAGACUCCGAACACUGGUGGGAGCCAAGAGGAUACAUCAGGGUCCCUGGUCCUGAAUGAAGCACCACCAGCACUUGGGAAAGUGCUACCAGCCACAACAGUCAUUAGAACAUUCCCACAUGCAAGAGGGCCCUGUAGAGCCAUAUUCCAGAGUGACAACUACUUUUUAAAAUCACUAAAAUCUUCUCAAACUUAUAAGCAUGUCUUUAAAAAUAGCAUAUCUCAAUUUCAACUACCAUAUUUCAAGAGCUCAGUAGCUGCAUAUGGCUAGUGGCUACUGUAUUGGCUGCUGUUAACAUUCAGAUUGUAUAAGAGCAUGGCCUCUGGAGUCAAACCCGCUGAUUUGAGUCCAGGCUUCACCACUAACUGGUCAUGUGACCUCGGACCAACCAGAUACUCCUUGUGCUUCAGUUGACAUCUAAAAACUGCAGAAAAUUAUAAUGCCUGGUUCCUGAAUUGUGGUGAAGAUUAAAUAAGACACGUCGGUCCUUGGCAUCUACCACACAGUAAACAUCAGCUUGCACGUGGCUUAGCUCAAUCCUUUGGUCCUGUGAAAUGUAUUGGUGUUGUCUCUUAUCAACUCUAUCAUAUUUAACAAAAUAAAAUAACUUGAUGGUAGACCUUUAUUUUUUAUUGUUGAAUGAGGAAUUUCAUUGGAGAUGCUUCCUAUUGACACAGAUAACUUAAUAAAAUAAAGUUGUCUGGUCUUCCUCAGAUCACCAGACAGGAUCUUCUGAAUAUUUCACAAGGAAAGUGCUGAGGAAGCACAGUGAUUGAAGGUCAUGGCUCUAGACAGCAUUCUGGAAAAUAUAGCUUCAAACAAAAUACAAAUAUUCUUAUUUCUCCCCUGUGCUGUUUAUUCUUUAUUAAAUAGGAUCUAUUCUGUUGCUAAGGAAGGCAAAAAUUCAACUUUUCAAGUGUAAUUGUUCUGUACAUCUAUGCAACAUAUCUACUGUGUAAUUAUGGUGUGCUAGGUGUUAUGGUUGUUACAUUGGUUUUGCUUAGAGAUAAUGAAGCAUUUAAAAAGUUUGAGAACAGUAAAUUGGUUCUGGGUCUUGGUGAAUAAACUUGACAUACUACUUAAACACACAGAAAUUAAACACGCUUUUCAAGGUAGUCAAGAAUGUUUAUUACUUCCUCAACUGUAAACUGAGGUUUAAAAAAAUGUAGAACAUUUGAAAAAAAAGUCAUCUCUGCCAUCUGUUGUAGUCCAAUCCGGGAAUAAUGAUCUAUGGAGGAAAAGGAAACAAAAGCCAGUAAGUUGGUAACAAUUCCAAAAACACCUACUAGAAAAGUAUUUGUGUACUGAUUAGUAUCUUGGAUUUUUCAAUUGAUUAAGUUUUUACCAUCUGUGGCCACAGCUGUCAGAUCUAUUUCUGGACAGUAAGAAUGUGGAAUAAGUCAGGAACUAGAAAUACAUUAUAAAACAUAUCAUGUGGCAUAACAAGAUGAAAUUGUACAUUAAGAAUAUGCUGUAUUUGUGUUUUAAUCCUCUAUCCAUUAAAAUAUUCAUGAAUAGAUUAUAUCCCUACAUUCAAUAAAUAUUUAUUUUGUGCCUGA